rnacentral:rRNA from 1 species
AAGCUCGUAGUUGAAUUUCGAGACCGAUUUACUGGUCGUGCUUUUGUACGUACUGGUAUAAUCGGUUUCUCUUUUCUGACGAACUAUAAUGCCAUUAAUUUGGUGUUUUAGGGAAUCAGGACUGUUACUUUGAAAAAAUUAGAGUGUUUAAAGCAGGCUCACGCUUGAAUACAUUAGCAUGGAAUAACGAAAUAGGACGUUUGAUUUUAUUUUGUUGGUUUCUAGGAUCGACGUAAUGAUUAAUAGGGAUAGUUGGG